rnacentral:rRNA from 1 species
GCCAUUGCUAUUGGAGUCCGAUUUAGCCAUGCUAGUCGCACGGGUUUAGACCCGUGGCGAACAGCUCAGUAACACGUGGCCAAGCUACCCUGUGGACCGGAACAACCUCGGAAAACUGAGGCUAAUUCCGGAUAUCGCUCCCAUGCUGGAAUGCCGGGAGCGACAAAGGCCCCGGCGCCACAGGAUGCGGCUGCGGCCGAUUAGGUAGACGGUGGGGUAACGGCCCACCGUGCCCAUAAUCGGUACGGGUUGUGAGAGCAAGAGCCCGGAGACGGACUCUGAGACAAGAGUCCGGGCCCUACGGGGCGCAGCAGGCGCGAAACCUUUACACUGUACGAAAGUGCGAUAAGGGGACUCCAAGUGCGAGGGCAUAUAGUCCUUGCUUUUCUACACCGUAAGGUGGUGUAGGAAUAAGGGCUGGGCAAAACCGGUGCCAGCCGCCGCGGUAAUACCGGCAGCCCAAGUGAUGGCCGCUAUUAUUGGGCCUAAAGCGUCCGUAGCCGGCCGAGUAAGUCCGUCGGGAAAUCCACACGCCUAACGUGUGGGCGUCCGGCGGAAACUGCCCGGCUUGGGACCGGGAGACCCGAGGGGUACGUCUGGGGUAGGAGUGAAAUCCUGUAAUCCUGGACGGACCGCCGGUGGCGAAAGCGCCUCGGGAGAACGGAUCCGACGGUGAGGGACGAAAGCUAGGGUCACGAACCGGAUUAAAUACCCGGGUAGUCCUAGCCGUAAACGAUGCUCGCUAGG